UUCAUCUGAUAUUUUGCUCUCGUCAUUUUUUUGGUUCAUGUUAUUAAAGAUAAAAAUGUUAUCUGGUUCCUCCAAAAUAAUAAAGGGGACUUCUUUUGUAGCCUUGAAAAAGUCUUGUAACUGCAUACAGAGUUCAAGAAUUUGUGCCCUGUGUUUGUAUCACCAGUGUUUGUCCUGUGUGGCAGACACAACUCUGCCUUGUACUGAAAUGUCCCAGCGCUCUGCAGAACAUCCCAGCCCACAUUAAAAAAUGAUGUACGUUGUCUUGUGCUUCAUUUCCUUUGUGAGCUAGUUGAGCACACUACUGGGAGUGGCAUCAGCACAGAGCAGUGCUCAGAGAGCCCUGUUCCUUCCCCAGGCUGCUUUGUCCCAUGGGAUAGGAGGGCUCUGCAGUGAGCUGUUCCCUCAUGCCUGCUGGGCUCCCUCCUUUUCACCCCUCCGACCUUGGCUAGAAGUUACAUGAUGGCAGUUUUAUCAUGAAAAGGAUUUCCCUUAAUGGAGUAACUGCAGUCUUAUUAGGGGAUCCUGCUUCUUGUGCUGGUGAGGGAUUGCUCCUGCCUGACGCAUUUGUGUUAGCAGAAGUGCACAGCCUGUGUUCAGACCUGCCUUCUGGAAACCACAGGCAGUGCUGGGAACACAGGGUAGUGCCCAGUUCUACACCUGGGAACAGAAUUAGAAUCUAUGUCUGAUCUCAGCAGGUUAUGGGAUACUCUAGGCAGUUGGCUGCAGUAAACUUCUGGAGGCUGUUAGUAAAAGUGUUGGUGUUGGUUUAGAUGCUUUUUCUGGAUUUCAGAGCAGAAAGUUAUGUGGUGUGUAUGUGGUGACUCAAGCAGUUAAGGACAAAGGGAUGUUUGUUUUCCUCCAAGAGCCUGUAGGCAGUAAGCCGACUGAACAACAAGGAUCAUGCCUGCUUUCUGCAUUACGUUGAGGCCAUAAGUGAGAACAUAAACUUCCAGUGAAAUUGUUGAUUAUAUAUAUGUCUGUGUGUGUGUGUGUGUAUUCCAA
rnacentral:lncRNA from 1 species